rnacentral:lncRNA from 1 species
UGAUUUUGGUGCUUCUCUGUAGCACUGGAGACAUAGAAGGAGACUGCCUCCUGCUGGGGUCAGUAUUUUCUGCAUUCCAUGAACGGAAGUGAGAACAGCUUUGGGAGCUAAUGCCGAAGGUGGGAGAAUCUGAUGCCCUCAGUCUCCAGUGAACUAAAGCUGAAGAAGACUCAGAUUUCUGACACAAUGGUAACACCUAUCCCUUCUGCCUGUGACUGCCAGGGCUUGCUGUAUGAUGAUAAGAAGAGAAUGUGACACAGAGGAAGGGGAAAAAGUCCAUCCCUCUGCCGCCUCCCUGCUUCAAGUUGUCCUGCCUUUCCCAACGGAACCAAUGUACAUCUUACAUAUACCGAUUGAUGUCUCAUGUCUCCCUAAAAUGUAUAAAACCAAGCUGUGCCCUGACAACCUUGGG